GCAAACUCCAAGAGGCCUACCAACUAGACGUGUCCCAGGAACAUCUCUCCACGGAGGAGGCCCACUACUUCGUCAGAGAAUAAAGAACUGGCCUCAUGACAACUAUUUUUCUGCCAAGACAUCUGAUACAUGUUGACAAGGGCAUCCAAAGGGAGACUUCUGAUUUAUCAAAGAGUUUGAAUGUAGAGAAUGAUGUGUAUCCCAAAGAAGGUUUUAGAUUCUCUCCUCCACCUUCUACAAGAAGAAUUAUAAAUCUGGAUAGCAAGCAGUAGCAAAAAGAUAUAGACUGCAUACCCAGGAGCUCUGAGCGCAUCUGCAAUGGCCCUUCUCCUUUUCCCCUCCUGCACUUGGGAAAGAAUUGAGUCAAAAAAUGAACUGACAACAAACCUUGUCAGCUCCACCUUCAACACAUAUCCAGAAUUUUCGCCACCUGUACAGCCUCUACCCUGGCCUGAUCACCAUCAUCCUUUGCCUGGAUGAUUCUGCCUGUCUCCUUUUAGCUGACUUUCAACAAAGCAGUCAGAGAGAGCCUGUUAAGACAGGAGUCAGAAUUCUCCUGUAUUUCUGCUGGGCCAUGUACUGAGGAUGCAAGAGGCUUAUUUCUAUGACUUUGAUUCCUACUUUAGAUGCACAGAUUCUCUCCCCUGGAGAAGAAAUGAAACCAGAAAGAGACACAGGAUAAAAGGGGCACUCUGGGCUCAAUGACAGGUCAUCUUCCUGUUCGAAGCUGAGGUGCUCUGGCUCUUCCCUGGAGCCCCUGAGGUCCAGCAAUUACUCCUGCACCUGACUCUCUGCACUUGGGGUCCCUUUCUCCCAGAUGACAUGACUGGUUUCCUUCCUUGACUCUUGCACCAGUUCCUUGCUCUGGUAACUUGUGUAGGCUCUACCUGGCUUGGAGUCCUGCCUGGCUCUUGCCAGCUACCCUCUCCACACCUUGGCCACAGCUCUAGCCAUGGCCGGAGCCCGGCGAUCUGGGAACAGACCUCUCAGACACCAUCUGCUCUCUUCAUCUCGGGAACGGUGCCUGCCUAGGCUCUCUGCUGUUGUGCUCUGCCCACCUGCUGGCACUCCUCAAAACCCCUUCUUAGACUGCUGCCAAUAACCCCUUGGCCCAAGUCCUCAACUGAGAUUAAGGUAUCCCUUGGACAAGGCGAUUUACACUCUUGGCUGAAAACACAGCACUGUCUGCCACCUCUCAGCUCCAGUCCCUCCCUCUCAGACUGACUCCCCAGUGGCCUAUAGCUUAGGAGGAGCAGAAACAGUAGUAAUAUAAUGAAAAUGAUGACAAUUAUAGAAGUAAAACAAUCUACUACUUACUAAAUGCUAACUACAUGCCGGGCAAUGCAUAAGCAAAGCCCAGUACUUUUGUGUUUUUUUUGCCUUUUGUGCACAGAAUCAGAACAAAUUUCAGUUACCACAGUUUAGUUUAGUAACAUCAGUUCCCCAACAAUACAGUUCAAAUCUGUUACCAUAGUAUAUCAACUAUGAGUAACUAGAUAGUUACAAACUUCACUGUCGGGUUUUCAGUCCACAAACUGACUAAGCAGAUAACAGAUCCACAUCAUGAUCAGGGAUCAAUCGUGUCACUUCUCUGACUGUCUGUGUUUGGUCACUGGAUAGCUGUUACUCAGCUUAUGUACAGACAGAAGAGCAUGUCGUUGUGUUGUUUCCUUAAUUCCUGGUGAUAAACCCAUGUGAUAUUUACAAAAAUAGAUAAUAGAACUGGCCAACAAAGAUAAAAGUAUAGCAUUGGGGAUCUGAAUAAGAAGAUGCCACAGCAGGAGGUGCAGACUAGAUGUCUAACCUGGGAACUCACAAGGAUCCCUGUAAAUGCCAAUAAAGGAUAAAAACAUGCUGGAAAAAAAAAAGAGAAAAGUGUAGCAAAGGAACGAAAAGUGACAAUGGUGGGAGUGAAGUUCAAAUCAAAAAUAAACGGAGGUAGAGAAGAAACAGCUGGCAGUGGGACGACACUGUCACUAUUCAACUCUAGCUAUACAGCCAGAGAAAUCUAGGAAAGGUGACUUUCUGAACAUAAAUAAGGAAAGUGGUUGUGAUGAGAAGGAUGAAGAUGCUCCAGAGGAAGUGACAUGGGCAAAAAAUUCACAUUAAAGCAACUCUCAAAGAUAUUUCACGAUGUUGAAAGUGCAAAGGAUAAACUAUGGGAAGCUGAUCCAAACUCAGAAAGGAGCAUGACAAUUUGCCAAGGCACAUAACAGAGGCUCACUCCUUGAAGGAAGUUUUGUGACAAGAAGAUAAGCACUCAGAUACUCUUCGUGAGUUGUAUUAAAAAACAAAACAAAACAAAACAAAAUCCUAAAUAUUUAAUUUUCUAUGUUUCCAAUGUUUUAAAUUACAGUAUAACAAAUAAAUAUUAGGUCUACUAUUUUUUUUCAUUUCUUAAUAUAUUUAAAACCAACAGUCUAUAUUCAAUGUCUUAUAAUAAGCUAUAAUGAAAAAGAAUCUAAAAAGAAUGUGUAUGUAUAUGUAUAACUGAAUCGCUUUGCUGUACACCUGAAACUAACAUUGUAAAUCAA